GUGCUCGCUUCAGCAGCACAUAUACUAAGAUUGGAAUGGUACAGAGAAGAUUAGUAUGGCCCCUGCACAAGGAUGACACACAAAUUUGUGAAGCAUUCCAUAUUUAA
ensembl:snRNA U6 U6 spliceosomal RNA